rnacentral:tRNA from 1 species
GCCCUUGUGGUGUAGCGGUCAGCAUGCUGGGCGCGUAUUCCAGAGGUCCACGGUUCGAGUCCCGGCGAAGGCG